CAGUCGCCGCGGUAAGACGAACCGUGCGAACGUUAUUCGGAAUUACUGGGCUUAAAGCGCGUGUAGGCGGGCCGCCACGUCGGUCGCUGAAAUCCCCCGGCUCAACCGGGGAAGUGGCAUCGAUACGAGCAGCCUUGAGGGGGGUAGGGGGAUCUGGAACUUCCGGUGGAGCGGUGAAAUGCGUUGAGAUCGGAAAGAACACCAACGGCGAAAGCACUCUGCUGGGCCGACACUGACACUGAGAGACGAAAGCUAGGGGAGCAAAUGGGAUUAGAUACCCCGGUAGUCCCUGUCUCUUAUA
rnacentral:rRNA from 1 species